rnacentral:misc_RNA from 1 species
CAAUUAACAAAAGCUAGUCUGUCAACAUGGCGGCCAAUAUUUUAAAGGGCCACCCCUCUCUUUCUUCACCUUCUCCCCCAUUUCUUCUCAUUCUCACAUCACCAACCUAACCCUCUCUCUCUUUCUCUAUCACCCUCCCUACUCUUCUUCUUCUUCCCUUUAAUCAUCAUCUCCGCCGGCAAGGGUGGUCAAGACUCAAGACUCAUCCCACCAGAAGAUUAGCAGCUUUAUUUGGUUCUUGGAGACCCCAUAUUACAAAUAAAUUAAUGGACGGCAAGUUCAACACCAACCCAUUAAUCACUAAGCAAGAAGAGAACGACAAUACAGAAAGUGGUCCUGA